UGCUGGGUGCAAAAUCCGCCCAGGAGCAGCUCGGUCUAGUCCGGGAGGAGUCUCACCUUAGGCCUUUCUUUCUUCCACUUUAUUUAUUUAUGACUCUGGGAGACCCGUUUCGGUUUCCAAGUGGCGGCAGACUUCAAGAACAUUAUCAAGAAAAAGUUACUCUCGGGUCACGCGCACUGAAGGGAAACCGAGGCACCGGAGGGUGAAGCUGUGGCUGUGGUUUAGCUUGUAAAGGUAUUGUGUGCAUGCUCUGAGAAACCCGGAAAGAACUCGUGCCCGCGGAGAUGCGUCUUUCUUCAGAUCACCCUUCCUCUGGGGAGGUCACAGAAAGGCUUGCUUUGGAAAAGAAUCAAGAGAACGACUUCUUCAUAGCCCCGUUUUCCUUGUUACUGUCCUCCCCUCAAAUCAGUUCCCCAGCCCAGCGCUUCCAGGAUCUGGAGAUGGGACUCGUUUCCACCUCUUAGGCUGUUACCUGCCCUUUGACUUCGCAUAUGCCCGGCUGAGGGCAUACAAACUCUGCCACUUGCCUCCAGACAUGCCGCAGUGCCCUGUUAGAACCUUUGCACCAAGAGAAGCCGCGGAGGGAAAGAGCCAAACAGAAACUGAUUCCUGCACUACAUCUUUCCUGGCCCAGCUGGCACCCCGUCCUUCAGAAUUUGAGAAAAGAAUGAGGCUCGCAGCUUGGCAUGGACCAUCCACCAGGAAAUGCUGAAGGGCCCGGAAGCCAGGUGUUGGGUGGUGUAACCAAUCAUUCUUUCUCCCACAGAGAGACCUCAGACUAGACUCCCUGAAGUCUUGGGAAUGUGGCUUAUGUGGGUUUCUCAAAUGUUACAUCCACCAGGAGAUCAAAGAUGAGGCUCCCGCUAUCUUGGGCCGGGUACAACCAAUGACUGAUUUUGUGAUACAUACUGUCCCUUGCUGGCAGGUUUCAAAGGAUGCCCAAAGAUACUUUUGAAAAAAAAAAAAAAGGUCAUUGCAAGGGCUGAAGAUAUAUUCAGUCACUAGAGUGUUUGCCGCACUUGAGCCAAAUUCUGGGUUCUGUCUCCAGCACUUCAUAAACCUGGCAUAGUGACACAGGCCUGCUAGCCCAGCACUUGGAAGUGAAGACAACAGGGUCAGGAGUUCGAGGCCAACCUCCCACAGCAGCUUGGACUACAGAAGACCUUGCUUAAAAAAAGGCCAACCCAAUCCAAGCUAAAUGAACCAACCAACCAACCAAACAAGAAAAACUAGAAUAAAAUGAUAAAUUUAUAUUUUAAUUAAGUAAAAAGAAAAAUGGGAAGAGAAUUUUGCAUAUCUCAGAUAUUCAUUUUCAGAAACUGUCACAAAACAAACAUCAACAAAUGUUUUUGAGUUAUUUUGAAGUCAGGAAGGAAUUAAAGCAAUAUGCAAUUAUCCUUGAACAGACACCAUGGAAAGCACCCCUCUCCCCACAGUAAAAGACUUGCCCUAUAAGGAAAAUAUCCAAGUUGUAUUUACAUGUUAAAAAAUGUUCUUGGAUCUCAUAUCCCUUUAGACCAAGCUUUCCUUGGGAAAGAUUUUAGCAUCAGUUGAAGGGAGAGUGUUAGUUGGUUUGACCCAGUGGAUGUGUAGUUGAGAAACCACAGUAGUUCACUCAAUAGUCAGGAAUCAGCAUAGGACUGGGUGUGUCUGGUUUCUAAAACUUAUUCUCUAGUGACACUGCAUUCUUGUCCAGGUCACACUCUUCAUGCACACCACGGAGAGAAAGAGAAAGAGAAGGAUGUGUGGGGCUGAGGACAAACCCAUUCCAGAGUUUCAAACAUUUUCAUACACUUGAUGACAAGAAUUUACUUCUCAGCCGUGUGUCUGCUAUAGAAUUAGCUGGGGUCCAGAUGACCAUGUCUGAGGAGAAGCAACCUCAGAAUCAUCCUUCACUAUGUGAUAACGACCUCUUUUGGAAAAUACAGAGCUCCCAAAUUUG